rnacentral:rRNA from 1 species
CCUACGGGGGACAGCAGUGAGGAAUAUUGGUCAAUGGGCGUAAGCCUGAACCAGCCAAGUCGCGUGAGGGAUGAAGGCUCUAUGGAUUGUAAACUUCUUUUAUAAGGGAAUAAAGUGUGGGACGUGUCUUAUUUUGUAUGUACCUUAUGAAUAAGGAUCGGCUAACUCCGUGCCAGCAGCCGCGGUACUACGGAGGAUCCGAGCGUUAUCCGGAUUUAUUGGGUUUAAAGGGUGCGUAGGCGGCCUUUUAAGUCAGCGGUGAAAGUCUGUGGCUCAACCGUAGAAUUGCAGUUGAAACUGGCAGACUUGAGUACAGUAGAGGCAAGCGGAAUGCGUGGUGUAGCGGUGAAAUGCUUAGAUAUCACGCAGAACCCCGAUUGCGAAGGCAGCCUAC